UCAAACACAAGUUCCCAUAAAAUCACCAAAGUUAAGCAACACUGAACCUGGUUAGUACUUAGUUGGGUGAUUGCCAGGGAAUACCAGGUGCUGUAAG